rnacentral:lncRNA from 1 species
GGCUGCUCGCUGACGUGGAAGCCUGGCUUGCUCUUGCUGUAGUCACAGCAAUGGAACAAAAUGAGAAGGCAUCCGCAUCAGGCUGUGAGCUUACUUUCAAACAGAGUCUGUGAGUGCCGUCAGAUUGCUCACUGAGGAUUUCAACGUAGCGGAAAAUACAUUCUCUAGAAGGUUCUUUUGCAUUUCCCUUGAAAAGUCCACAUCCACUUCUUUGAGUACCUGAAUAAUAUGUGUGCAUUCUAUGUCAUUUUUAUCUUUUCUUUGUUUAUCAAAUGUCUUCACUCAUUAAUCUAUACAUUAAUAUUGUCCCUUUACUGGUUAAAUUUUCAAUUUCUUUUUCUUUGAAAACACGUGUUUCCACUUGUGCUUUGGCGUUGAUAAGAGGCUGGCGUUGGAACUGAGUCUCUGUGGGUCUGUUUGAAUUUGCUUAAAAAUACUUUUAGGGAUUAAGUGCUUACUAUGAUUUUGAAACUAUAAUAUUUAAGGCACCAGAGUGGCAGCGUUAGACAGCACUAUGGCAAAUAUAAACCUUCCUGUUUCUUGCUUUUAUGCUUUAAUCAGAGGCAUUUUAGUCCUUCAAAGGCAACAGCUGAGCAGCUAUUUUCGGUGCCUUUGCAAGCAGGAAGUGACCCAUUUCAGUCCCAGAGGAAGUGGAGUCAGUGAGCUGCCUCAGCUAAUUUUGGCAAUCACGCCAAAACACCUAUACAAGAAAGGAAGAAAGAGAUGGAGGAAAGGGAGAAAAGGAAGAAGAAGGAUGGGAGUUUCUUCAUUUAUUUCAGAAUAUGAAAGUGCUUUCUCUUAUGGAUAAACACAUGCCAAGACAUCUUGACAUUUGGUCAUCAUUAUUCUCUUCAUGUCAACCUACUUGAGGUGUUCAUCCUGCUAUUCUGGAAAUACUGGAAGAGUAUCCUCUAUAAGUAACCAGAGAAAGUCAAAGAACAGAGAACCCAGGCAUCUGUCUACGUUAAAAGGUGAUACAGUCAAAUGAAUCCACAGAAUGAUCCAUUUAACUAGACAGUCUACGCCAUACAACCAUUGAAGUAAGUUGUUCUUCUGGGGACACACAAACAUGCUUGAAAUAUCCCCUAAAUACAACACUUCUUCUUGUUCCAGAUUCUCCGCAAAACCAUGAGAACCUUUGGUAUAUUUCAGUCUCCUUCAAAGCUCCACUCCUCUGGCCUCUUAACCAGAGUCAGAUACUCAGUUCACACUGGUGGGCUGCCUACUUCAUUCUAAACACUGUGCUGCAUAUGAGGCAUACCAAAUGAAAGGCAUUUUCAAGCUGAAAUUAAAUGUAAGCCUUGGAUAAGUAGACAAAAAGCAAAAGAAACAUUAGGUAGAAAGGGGCAGGGAUGGUGUAGUCAGGAUGUGGAGAAGACUGUCCAAGCUUAGAUUUGUCUGACUUUGCCAAUCUGUUGUGUUUUAAAUCACCAAACUAAAAUAUUUUAUAUUUCUUGUUCACCCUUUGUUGCAUUUUGGGGAUUAUAUAUAUAUAUAUAUUUCUCAAAAUAUCAGACAUUCUGAUUUGGGAAAUAUGGUACAGUGUUCACACAUCUGCGUUUUAAACAGAAUCUCCCAAGUAAUUCAGAUACACACUAAAAUUUGAGAAUCAGUUGUCUAAAGAAGUCACUUUAUGUCUGCAGUGCAUCUUUCUUAAGGAACAACAAUUAGCCCAGCCUCAAAAUACAAAGGGUUUAAGUAGAAGAAGAUAUGCUUGUCUCGAUGCAUAGUCAUUGGGGGUGUAAAUUCCCAGUGAGUUGCACUUGACAGCUGACCUCCUUCACAUUUUUAGUUAGGAUGAAGCACUUCAUGCAAAAACCAAGAAAUAGUCCCAGUCUUUUUGCUGUUCUAGCUGUUAACAGUCUGAAGCAUAUUCUGCCUCCUGGAAGUUAAAAUUUACAAGUAGAUCAGAAAAUGGGGAUGAGGAGUAAGGUGGGAAAUGAAAGCACUUUCAUAAAGCAGCUCAAGAUUUUAAAUGUUAGAGGGUCAUUCGCUCAGGUGCAGCAUUUUAUUUUUAUCUCCUCCUUGGAAUACUUAGAUCUGACCGGUGUUCCUGACGGCUCCUCUCCCGGUGCCACUGUGGGCUGCCUUAAAAGGAAAAUGCUUAUGUAAAGAAGACAAGUGUGGGAAGGCAGGCAUCAGCUUAACAGACCAAGGAGCUCAGCAAUUCCACCCACCGCUUCUUCCCCAGAGCAAACUCCCAAGAGGUGCUCUUCUAGCGAGAUGUCUGGUACUUUACAAUGCUUCCCCAGCCCUUUCUGAGGCGAUGAUUUCCUCCUGAUAGCUUAAUUUUAUUAGAUCAUAGGAGCACAGUCUGUAAAUGUGAAAACACUUAAAGGGAAAGAGAAACUUUCAAAGCAGCUGUUUAAUGUUGGGUUUAAAAAAAAAAAGGAAUCCGAGAGGGGAAAAAAAGAGAGAACUAAAUCUAAAACCUUACAAAAUAAAAGCUAUUUAAGCAGGCCA